ACGCCUGUAGCUCAGUGGAUAGAGCGUCAGCCUCCGGAGCUGAAAGCGGUGGUUCGAUUCCACUCAGGCGUACCA
rnacentral:tRNA from 2 species